AAAAAUCGUUUUAUCGAAAAAACUUAUAGUCGUACCUAAAAAGAAAAGAAAAAGAAGAAAUUAAAGAAAUUAAUUCGCAUCACAAUAAACCAAUAAGUUUCAAGGUGUCGAAGAUAAUUCUCAUUUAUGGGAGGGAGGAACAAAUCUGAGAAAUGACCUGUCUUCUUUUUAUUUUUCUUUUUCUUUUUUUUAUGAGUAUAUGUAUAUAUAAAUACAAUUCUUUUUCAUUUACGUUAAGUUAAUAGAUUUAUUUUUUAGAUUAUAACUUGAAGAGAAUACGUUAUAAUAUUUUAUUGGAUUGGAAGAGGAUGCAUGUUUUUUUUGCGUACGUGGAUAUAUCUACAAGGCUGGAUGCACUCAUUCGUCGUAUACUUUCGUGUACGAUCGUGCUCCGAAGAUCAGUAGCAGUGGGCAUGCAUGCAUGCAUGCACGCAUGCGUGCGUCAUGUAUGAUCUCUCUGCUUACGUGAUGUGUAUGGAUUAUGUAUGUAUAUAUGUAUGUAUGUAUGCGUCGUACGCUUGCUCUUCUUCGUUAUGUAAAAUAGUAUUUUUAUAAAGAUAAAACAGUGUAUGCAAGGUCUAUAAAGUCAUAAUGUUAAAAAAAAAAAAAGGGAAGCAAGAAACAACACGCAAGAGAUGCUAUGAUGAUGACGUUCGGAUUAAAUAAAGUAAAAAUUUGCUAAGAAAACAUCAAUUACAUUAUCACAAUAAAUGUUCCACGGACAUUUUACUGCCAGCCGAUUGAUUGAUUAUUACAAGUGCCAAUUUGAGCACAUUACCCGAUGGUAAACGAAACUUAAAUAAACAA
rnacentral:lncRNA from 1 species